rnacentral:piRNA from 1 species
UACUCCCUUUGUUCUUUUUGGUCAUGAUA